UGGGUUAAUAGCCGGAAAAUACACCAACUAUUUUGAGAUUUGCAUAUUGCACAUGACCUUCAAAAUUAGCCCCAGAAUACACGACUUUUCAAUUUAAUCGCAAUUUGCACCCGCGUUUACUAACACUUUGAUCGGUGGUGACGUGGCCGUCGGAUUUUGUUGACGUGGACGAUUUUCCGAUAUAGUAAAACGACGUCGUUUUGUCAAGCUCUUUUAAAUUAUAUAAAAAAAAAAAAACAAGAAAAAAAAUGGUAUCAUCUUCUUCCCUUCCCUCUCAAUACAGUAACCCCCAAAUCCUCAGCCACCAAAUCUCGACACCCUGCUAUUGUCACCGGUUGAGAGUAGGGCGGCGAUUCUCGCCGUGAAUCGAGGGUGAAA
rnacentral:lncRNA from 1 species